rnacentral:rRNA from 1 species
GGACCCGCACAAGCGGUGGAUGAUGUGGAUUAAUUCGAUGCAACGCGAAUAACCUUACCUACCCUUGACAUGUCCGGAACCCUGCUGAGAGGCGGGGGUGCCCGAAAGGGAACUGGAACACAGGUGCUGCAUGGCUGUCGUCAGCUCGUGUCGUGAGAUGUUGGGUUAAGUCCCGCAACGAGCGCAACCCUUAUCAUUAGUUGCUACGCAAGGGCACUCUAAUGAGACUGCCGGUGACAAACCGGAGGAAGGUGGGGAUGACGUCAAGUCCUCAUGGCCCUUAUGGGUAGGGCUUCACACGUCAUACAAUGGCCGGUACAGAGGGUUGCCAACCCGCGAGGGGGAGCCAAUCCCAGAAAGCCGGUCGUAGUCCGGAUUGCAGUCUGCAACUCGACUGCAUGAAGUCGGAAUCGCUAGUAAUCGCGGAUCAGCAUGUCGCGGUGAAUACGUUCCCGGGUCUU